AGAAGGUGGAGCUGUUUGGUAGCUCACAAAGCUCAUAACCUUGAGGUUACAGGUUCGAUACCUACUACCCACUC
rnacentral:tRNA from 2 species